rnacentral:misc_RNA from 1 species
UUGUCGCUGUAUCUGCUGGCGUUCUUAUUUAUAGUUGGCAAAUAAAUACCGCGAUAAUACGCCGCGGCCACGGCGUAUUUGCGAUUCUAAUAGCCGUGCAUUUAGCACGGCGCGGUACAUUCGGGUAAACGCGAAUGACGCAUGGCGAGGGUAAUUAAGCAAUUACGGGAGUACAAUGUUCUUGUCGCUCGGGGGAGAAUAAAUGUUCGCGUGCCGUCCUGGGAUUGUAACGAGGAAAGUGAUUUCGAAUGGAAUUAAAUUCCUGUAACUUGUGCGCAGAGAGAUGGUUUAUUUUUCAGGAUCGAUACUCGAUCGGUGCAUCCGAUAAGUUCCGUCGGCAAGGGCGAGGAACUCUGAUUUACUGGCGACUUUAGCAUCAUGAUGAUCACGAGAAGGAACGAAGUGGCAAAGGAGUGGACGAAGAAAGAAGAAGCAUCGAACGAACCAAGCACAAGAGAAAGAAGAAGAGUACAGGCGGCAUGGGAAGCAGGAG